rnacentral:misc_RNA from 1 species
AUUGGCCAGUAUCAGGAAUAAAAAUAUUCCACUUGAUAGAAUGCAUUUCGUGACUUACCGCAACAACCUCAAUAAGAUAAUGGCUACUGCUUAUCUCAGGAAUGAACCUUGGGAAAUGGGAGUGCACAAAAGAAAGGGGGUUGUGUAUCUUGACGUACAUAAACUGCCAGAACGGCCACAGAGUGUGCUGGACCGGAGAAGGUGUUACUGGGGAUAUUGUUUCGAGAGCCUUGCAACAGAAGAUCCUAGGCG